CACAACGCGCAGGGAGUUGUCAACACAAGCUACUACGACGCGGGAUGCAUCCCUUGGAAAAUGAAAAAUCUUGCUGAGAGGUGCUCCGAGGCGAGGCAAGUACGAUUUACGAGCUUCAUCAAGUUUCCAAACCACCAUUACGGAUUCUGCUCCUCCAGAUACAAGGUGCAUGCCGUCAGCUGAGAAUAACAAACACUUUACAGGUUGCGAAUGCCAAUGAAAUGUACAAUUAGGUGAGCAUUCAAGCACGUCAAAUUUUGAACCACUCAAGCUGCUCUGUGUGGUGAUAGAUUGGAAUCGUCUUUUUUGUCCAUCUUCACACAUGCCAGCAAGCACAUUGUACCAAAGUAAUAUACGACCUGUUACAUCACCGGCGGCAACAAACCUGC
rnacentral:lncRNA from 1 species